rnacentral:pre_miRNA from 1 species
AUCACCAAAUAAACUAAACCAGUUAGGGUUUAAUGGUUCUAUCUCAAUUGUUUUUUUUUGGAUCCCAAAUUUAAUCUAUUUUAAUUUAAAAAAUGAUUAUUUGUUAUCCAGGAAAAAUAACUGGAAAAGAACCGUUGAGCCCUUUCUGAUUUAUUAAUUAUUUGAUGAC